rnacentral:rRNA from 1 species
AGUAGUUGACUCGCGCACGAGACACGCUGGCGGCGCGCCUAACACAUGCAAGUCGAGCGAUGAACAUUGAAUGAUCCCUUCGGGGUGAUUUCGAUCGGAUUAGCGGCGAACGGGUGAGUAACGCGUGAGGAACCUGCCUCUUACAACGGGAUAGCCUCGGGAAACCGGGAUUAAUACCGUAUAAGACUCCGACAUCUCCUGAUGAUGAAGUCAAAGCGUUAGCGGUAAGAGAUGGCCUCGCGUCUGAUUAGCUUGUUGGCGGGGUAACGGCCCACCAAGGCGACGAUCAGUAACCGGCCUGAGAGGGUGAACGGUCACAUUGGAACUGAGACACGGUCCAAACUCCUACGGGAGGCAGCAGUGGGGAAUCUUGCACAAUGGGGGAAACCCUGAUGCAGCGACGCCGCGUGAGCGAUGAAGGUUUUCGAAUCGUAAAGCUCUGUCCUAUGGGAAGAUAAUGACGGUACCAUGGGAGGAAGCCCCGGCUAACUACGUG